UACGGAGGAUGCAAGCGUUAUCCGGAAUGAUUGGGCGUAAAGCGUCCGCAGGUGGCAAUGUAAGUCUGCUGUCAAAGCGUCUGGCUCAACCAGAUAAAGGCAGUGGAAACUACAUAGCUAGAGUGCGUUCGGGGCAGAGGGAAUUCCUGGUGUAGCGGUGAAAUGCGUAGAGAUCAGGAAGAACACCGGUGGCGAAGGCGCUCUGCUAGGCCGCAACUGACACUGAGGGACGAAAGCUAGGGGAGCGAAUGGG
rnacentral:rRNA from 1 species